rnacentral:rRNA from 1 species
AGCUCCAAUAGCGUAUAUUUAAGUUGUUGCAGUUAAAAAGCUCGUAGUUGGAUUUCUGUCGUGCACGGCCGGUCUGCCUUACGGUGUGUACUUGCCGUGUUCGGCAUCUAUUCGCGUCGGGGCGUUGCGAUUAGGUUCGUGGGUCGCGGAGCGGAGCUGAUACUUUGAGAAAAUUAGAGUGUUCUAAGCAGGCGUGAUGCCUUGAAUACUGCAGCAUGGGAUAUCAAGAUAGGACUUCGCUCCUUUCUUGUUGGUUCUCGGGAUCGAGGUAAUGAUUAAUAGGGAUAGUUGGGGGCAUUCGUAUUCGGCCGUCAGAGGUGAAAUUCUUGGAUUGGCUGAGGACGAACUACAGCGAAGGCAUUUGCCAAGGAUGUUUUCA